rnacentral:rRNA from 1 species
AACGAACGCUGGCGGCAUGCCUAACACAUGCAAGUCGAACGGGAACUUCUGGUUUAGUGUGGCACUUGUGCGUAACGCGUUGGAGCCUGCCCUUAUGUUCGGCAUAACUCCCCGAAAGAGCUGCUGAUACCGGAUAAUGUCUUCGGACCAAAGAUUUAUCGCCUUUGUGUGUGCCGGCGUGGGCUUAGCUCGUUGUUAGGGUAAAAGCCUACCAAGGCGACGAUCAGUAGCUUGUCUGAGGGGAUGAGCAACCACACAGGGACCGAGAAAAGGCCCGGACUCCUAAGGGAGGAAGCAGUGGGGAAUAUUGGACAAUGGGCGAAAGGAUGGUGAAGCAAGGCCGCGUGAGUGAUGAACGCCUUAGGGUUGUAAAGCUCUUUUACCCGGGAUGAUAAUGACGGUACCGGGAGAAUAAGCACCGGCUAACUCCGUG